GGUUGCAAGAACCACUACCUCUCUCUUCCUUCGGAUAGCUUUUUCCAGACUCUUAAAUGAGUUGUUGUUUUGGUCUAAGUUGCUGCUUAUCUUCUCAUUUAUCGAACAUAUCUCUCUUUCUCUGGAAAAAACCAGUCCACCGCAGCCCAACAUAAAUCCAGCGCACAGCGACAAUCAUCAUACCAAAUGGCUCGUCGUCCAUCGAUUCCAGAUCUCCAGGAAUGAAAGAAACACCAGAUUCAGAUCGAUCGAUCUCUACUAGCAAAUCUACUUGAAGAACCAUGAAGAAAUUAUGCGGUUCGCUUGGAUGAUUUCUAAUUGCACAUAGAUCUCCAGUGUAGGAGUUUUGACUAUUUCCAAUGGAUAUGAGAUUUGAUGACAAUGAAGUGGAUGAUGCUUGCUGAAGAACAGAUUUGAUCAGAUCUAGAAAUUAUGACUAAAAGAUAAUAUUAUCGUAAGGGAUUUGACACAGGAAAUUAUAAUCACUAAAUGCGAUUAUAUUCAUUAAUCUUUAAUAAUGCAUCAUGUAAAUUAAGAAAAACAAAAAUGUUAA